GAUGAAGAACGCAGCGAAAUGCGAUAAGUAGUGUGAAUUGCAGAAUUCAGUGAAUCAUCGAAUCUUUGAACGCACAUUGCGCCCCUUGGUAUUCCAUGGGGCAUGCCUGUUCGAGCGUCAUUUAUACCUUCAAGCUUUGCUUGGUGUUGGGUGUUUGUCUCGCCUUUGCGUGUAGACUCGCCUUAAAAUAAUUGGCAGCCGGCGUAUUGAUUUCGGAGCGCAGUACAUCUCGCGCUUUGCACUCAUAACGACAGCGUCCAAAAGUACAUUUUACACUCUUGACCUCGGAUCAGGUAGGGAUACCCGCUGAACUUAAGCAUAUCAAUAAGCGGAGGA
rnacentral:misc_RNA from 1 species